rnacentral:rRNA from 1 species
AUUGAACGCUGGCGGCAGGCUUAACACAUGCAAGUCGAGCGGGGAAAAGUAGCUUGCUACUUUACCUAGCGGCGGACGGGUGAGUAAUGCUUAGGAAUCUGCCUAUUAGUGGGGGACAACAUCUCGAAAGGGAUGCUAAUACCGCAUACGUCCUACGGGAGAAAGCAGGGGAUCUUCGGACCUUGCGCUAAUAGAUGAGCCUAAGUCGGAUUAGCUAGUUGGUGGGGUAAAGGCCUACCAAGGCGACGAUCUGUAGCGGGUCUGAGAGGAUGAUCCGCCACACUGGGACUGAGACACGGCCCAG